GGGCCUUGCGGCCCCGCCCCUGGCCCCGCCCCUGGCCUCCAAUUCCUCGGCGCACCUCCGGGGCUGGUGGGUGAGGGGUACUCAAACCGGACGGGGGCGAGCACGUGCCUGAUGCAAUUCGGAAGGGGGGCCGGUCAGCGAGCCCGAGUUUUUAGUUCUUCUUGGACUCUGUUCUCUGGGCUGGUUGAUUUGUCUGCAGAAGAGACGGUGGGGCACAGCCCAAAGACACAGGCUGAGAAAUCAGAGGGGUGUGUUUGCUGGUGGCUAUGAGAACAUUUCACAUCAGCCUUCCGGGCCUCGGGAUCCUCAUCUGAAGAAAGCAAUUUGACUGGCAGGAUCCAGGUGAGGUGCAUUCACUUUGCAAAUAUCAGCAGGAAACAGUAGCUCUGCAUACUCUCAGGAGUCUUCUGUGACCUUUGACCAAUACCUGCUGUGUCAUGUGGACCGAGAGACAGCCUCCUCGUUGUACUGGAGAGAAGCCAGGCCUAGAGAGGCGAGGACAGCAGCCCAAAGUCACACAGCUGGUUAAUGCCAAAGGCUUGAAACCAGGUCUCUUGACUCCAAACUCUACGCUCUUUCCAACAGUUCUGUGGACCCCUGCAAUUUCUCUAAAUUAGCUGACUGUGUAUCAGAAUCUUGUAAUUCACAGGGGUUCAUGUUUCUCAAAGCCAUUGAAUCAUACGUUUAAAAUCUGAACAGUAAAAAGAAAAGAAAAAAUC